GAUUAACGCUAGCGGCAGGCCUAAUACAUGCAAGUCGAACGGCAGCACGGAUAGCAAUAUCUGGUGGCGAGUGGCGCACGGGUGCUUAACACGUAUGCAAUCUACGCUUAACUGGGGGAUAGCCCCGAGAAAUCGGGAUUAAUACCCCAUAACAUUGAGAUGAGGCAUCUCCUUGCAAUUAAAGCUCCGGCGGAUUUGGAUGAGCAUUCGCGACAUUAGUUAGUUGGUGAGGUAACGGCUCACCGAGACUUCGAUGUCGAGGGGUUCUGAGAGGAUUCACCCCCACACUGGUACUGAGACACGGACCAGACUCCGACGGGAGGCAGCAGUAAGGAAUAUUGGUCAAUGGGCGCAAGCCUGAACCAGCCAUGCCGCGUGAAGGAUGACGGCCCUACGGGUUGUAAACUUCUUUUGUACGGGAAAAAACCACCGGUCGUGAACCGGUGCUGAUGGUACCGUAAGAAUAAGCAUCGGCUAACUCCGUGCCAGCAGCCGCAGUAA
rnacentral:rRNA from 1 species